UACAGAGGUCCCGAGCGCUAGGCGGAAUCACUGGGCUUAAAGCGUGUGUAGGCGGAUCCGUAAGUACCUUGUGAAAUCCCACGGCUCACCCGUGGAACUGCUCGGUAUACUGCGGGUCUUGGGCCAUCUAGGGGCGAGCGGAACAAACGGUGGAGCGGUGAAAUGCGUAGAUAUCGUGUGGAACGCCAAUGGUGACAACAGCUCGCUGGGGAUGUGCCGACGCUGAGACACGAAAGCCAGGGGAGCAAACGGG
rnacentral:rRNA from 1 species